rnacentral:lncRNA from 1 species
CUCCGCCCUCAGCCCUCACCUGCCCACACCCUCGGCUCCACGCCUGGCACCUCCCGCUGUCCCUCAGGCCCCUUUGUGGGGCCGGGAUUCUGGGACCGGGCCAGGCUGGGUGGGCGGUGACAGAGGGGUGGGGAUGCAGGGCCCAAGGAGGGCUGAGGACUCGGGGAGCUGUCUCUUCUCACUGUUGCUGGGGAGAGGAGAAGGCGGGAGGCUGCGUGGCUGUCACCCACACUGUCCCUCCCUCUCUGCACCUCGGUCUGGCUGUCCCUCGCUCCCUGCUUCUGUCUGCCUUUCUGGACUCAGACAAAGACCUAAGUUGCCAGCCUGGUUGGUUCCCCCACUAACUGGCCGGGCAGCCUUGGUGGGGAAUGUCCUCUCUCCUGGCCUCAGUUGUCCCUUCCGCACAGUGGGCACAAGGUCUUCACCACCUGGACAGGACGAGGUGGGAGCAGGGGAGGCCCGGCCAGCUCCUUCUCUCUGCCCCAUGGUCCCGGGCCCUGGGCAGGGUGGUGGUGGGCACUGGGGCCUGUGGGGUCCCCAUCCCUGACUGAGCCUGUCCCCUGUCCUCUCUCGCAGCCUCCCAGCAUCCACGCAGAGCAUGAACAUUGAGGAUGGCGCGGGCCCACUCCCCGUGCCCCCCCACUGCCGCCCUGGUAGGAUGUCCUGGCCCCACGGGGUGCUGCUCUUCCUGUGGCUCUUCUCCCCACCCCUGGGGGCCGGCGGGGGCAGCGUGGCCCGGCGCAGCGGCCGCAGGAGGGGGCUCCCCACCGGCCACCUCCCUGCCCAGCCGCCUGCUCCUGCAGCAACCAGGCCAGCCGGGUCAUCUGCACUCGGGAGAGAGCUGGCCGAGGUCCCUGCCAGCAUCCCCGUCAACACGCGGUACCUGAACCUGCAGGAGAACGGCAUCCAGGCACCCUGAUCUGGUGGUAGAAGUGGCCCAUCCCAAAAUAAUCCAGGAAUCUGGGGCACACAUCCUGCGCCAUGCCAACCUCCUGGUGGGGUCCCCAUCAGCCCUGGCUGACCAGACCACACAGCAGCAGCUCCUUGCCGCCUCCCACCACUGGGGCCACGCCAUGUUUGUGGCUCGAGGAGCACUGUGGGGGACUGAGGACAUCUCGAGAUUGGAUGCAGCCGGAGGCCUCCAGAGCCUUUGAGUCACCAUGGCCACACACCCAGAUGGCUUCCGGCUAGAGGGACCCCUAGCUACCACUCACAGCACUGGGCCUCGCACUGUGCUCUGCGAAGGCCCUGUCCGUGGGCUCUGCCCCUUUGCUCCCGAAACUCCAACACCAUGGCAGCUGCUGCCUGGCUGCCCCCAGCCUAGGCUUUGACAACGUGAUCGGGGUGCUUGUGGCGGAUCUCAG